rnacentral:rRNA from 1 species
AGGAUAAACGCUGGCGGCGUGCAUGAGACAUGCAAGUCGAACGGACGAUCAGGGCUUGCUCUGAUCGUUAGUGGCGGACGGCUGAGUAACGCGUAGGUGACCUGCCUCGAAGUGGGGGAUAACUGCCCGAAAGGGUGGCUAAUACCGCAUGUGGUGGUUCGUUCAUUCGAACCAUCAAAGCAGCAAUGCGCUUCGAGAGGGCCUGCGUCCGAUUAGCUCGUUGGUGGGGUAACGGCUCACCAAGGCGACGAUCGGUAGGUGGUCUGAGAGGACGAUCACCCAGACUGGGACUGAGACACGGCCCAGACUCCUACGGGAGCAGCAGUCGGGAAUUUGCGCAAUGGGACGAAAGCCUGACGCACGCAACGCCG